CGAACGCUGGCGGCAUGCCUAACACAUGCAAGUCGAACGAGACCUUCGGGUCUAGUGGCGCACGGGUGCGUACCGCGUGGGAACCUGCCCUUAGGUUCGGAAUAACUCCCCGAAAGGGGUGCUAAUACCGGAUAAUGUCUUCGGACCAAAGAUUUAUCGCCUUUGGAUGGGCCCGCGUUGGAUUAGCUAGUUGGUAGGGUAAAAGCCUACCAAGGCGACGAUCCAUAGCUGGUCUGAGAGGAUGAUCAGCCACACUGGGACUGAGACACGGCCCAGACUCCUACGGGGAGCAGCAGUGGGGAAUAUUGGACAAUGGGCGAAAGCCUGAUCCAGCAAUGCCGCGUGAGUGAUGAAGGCCUUAGGGUUGUAAAGCUCUUUUACCCGGGAUGAUAAUGACAGUACCGGGAGAAUAAGCUCCGGCUAACUCCGUG
rnacentral:rRNA from 1 species